rnacentral:rRNA from 1 species
AUGACCGGAUUGCUCGGGAAGUUGGUCGAGGGGUGGACGUCCCUCAGUGCCUCCGACAGCGACGCGGUUGCGAGGCAGUUCACUUCAUUUGUUCCAGAACAUACACACCGGCCAACUGGCUGUCGUGGCCGAUAUGACUACAACAGUUCCCAAGAGCCCGGUGACACACAAGAUGAUGUAGACGGAGACGCUGGCCUCAGCAAGGAUGACGACGACGACAUGGACAAUGUGCAUCAGGACACGGAUGACGAUGAACAAGCUGAAGUUCGCAGAGGCGGCAACAGGGGCAAGGAUGCAACAGAUGCCCCAGCACCGGAGAAAGUGAAAGAACAGACGGCUGCGAGAGGCCAGGGGGUGUUGCCAUCAAGGAGGGGGAGGGCUCCAGAUGAUGUUGGGCAGGGUUCUCAUGGCAAGAAGUCCAAGACGGACCCCGUAGCUCGCGGCAACGGCGAGCCGACCGCUGAUGGACGAAUAGUUACGAAUAAACAAGCGCCAACGCCAACCCGUGCUUCUGCUCGCUUGAACAAAGGUGCCCCCAUUGCUGGUGACACCCCUUCCACCAGGUUGUCUCCUCGUACGACGACGACCAACACCGGGGAUCCUGUUGUGUUGCCAGACAUGAGGAAGCCAGUCAAGAAGGUUAAGAAGACUACUACGCGCGGGGCCAAGCAUAGGAUAAAUGAUCCGCUUGAACGACUACAUUCAAAGUUGUCAACUGGGGGCAACUCAAAUGUACAUGAGGCACCCGUCGACAAUACUGCUGUUGCACCGAUGAUGGCUUCCACCAACCCUGAUGCAAGUGGCCGAUCAUCUCCGCCGGCUGCGGAUGCCGAGGCUACAACAACAGGCAUCCGUACAUCGGGGAGUGAUGAGUCCAUAUCUACCAGGACAGCUGAAAUAUUGCCAACUCUUCUGGCAAUGAAGGAAGCCGCAGUGAGCCACGCCACCCCAUCAGCAAGUGUUGAAGUGGACGCUACCGAGACGAACAUAGGCAAGGAAGAUUCGCGCUCUUCAGACACUGACUCCAAGGGCGUGCGGGAUGGCGCACCUGUGUCCACGACAGAAGCCGCUGAGGCGGCAGUUCAUAAGGAUAUGCCAUCUUUAGGAGAGAGUCAUGGCACAAAAGCUCCAGCCCCUGUCGGUGCAGAUACUGUUAAGGUUACCGUGGCGCGUGCUGGUCUUCCAGCUAGGCGUCGCAGCCCCCGUAAGCAACCAACAGUCGUACCCAAUGCACCGGCUGUACCUAGCAGCAGGAGAGACGAGUCUGGGUAUGUUCCUGCAUCAACACUGUUCCCUCCACCCGCCCAAAGCAAUGUGAUGGAGAACCCGCAAGACCGGAGCAAAACUAAGGCAGUUGUCAAGGCUGGCACGAGUGACGCAGGUGAACGGCCAGAGCAGACUGCGCCUUUACCCGCAGUGGAAAUCCCCAACAUAAAUCUGCGCACUUCCAGGCUGCCAGUCAAUGUUGGUGUCCCCUACAGCCCAAAUAAGAAGAUUGCCAUGAAAGCUGCUGCUGAUACCGCUGACAAGACGCCCCACCCUGCAAACAAGCCCGAACAUUUCGGAGCGGCUGAUUCAGAUAUGUUUGUUAAUCUUUCACCAUUGGAUUCUGCCCCGCAAAUCGUUCGUGGUCCGGCCAGUAGGAAUGAGAGGCACCCAAUGGCAUUUACCCCACCGAGCUUCAGCAUUGGCGUAAGUCAAGACCAAGCGGUGGUGCAUGAUCCUAUGCCAGUUGCCUUUGGUUUUCCAGGAGGCACGACAGCAAUGAUGGCGCAGCCAAUGGUCGAGGGCAGGAAGGCUGUCAAGUUCGCAGAGCCAAUUGUGCAAGCCACCCCUGAGGAAAUUUCACCGUCACUCAACGAAGCUUACCGCAAGAUUGAGGAGGUAGCAUUGCAGAGGAGGACAUCCCGAGGACAGGGGCAAUCAAGUUCCAACUUGACUGCGGAGAUGGCAACUGAGGAUACCAUCAGAAGCGCGACCCCUGGUUCUGUGAGACAGUAG